rnacentral:rRNA from 1 species
AUACUUAGGUGGCAAGCGUUGUCCGGUAUUAUUGGGCGUAACGCGCAUGUAGGCGGUUUGGUAAGUCGGUCGGGAAAAUGCGGUGGUUAGCGCCGUAUGGCGAGCGAAACUGCUGAACUUGCGUGUAGGAGAGGAAAGGGGAACUCCCAGUGUAGCGGUGAACUGCGUAGAUAUUGGGAAGAACACCGGUGGCGAAGGCGCCUUUCUGGACUGUGUCUGACGCUCAGAUGCGAAAGCCAGGGUAGCGAACGGGAUUAGAUGCCCCGGUAGUCCUGGCCGUAAACGAUGGGUACUAGGUGUGGGAGGUAUCGACUCCUUCCGUGCCGGAGUUAACGCAAUAAGUACCCCGCCUGGGGAGUACGGCCGCAAGGCUUAAACUCAAAUGAAUUGACGGGG